UACAGGGGGUGCAAACGUUGCUCGGAAUCAUUGGGCGUAAAGCGCACGUAGGCGGUUCGUUAUGUCGGAUGUGAAAGCCCUUGGCUUAACCGAGGAAGUGCAUCCGAAACUGGCGAGCUAGAGUACGAAAAGAGGAUCGCGGAAUUCCCGGUGUAGAGGUGAAAUUCGUAGAUAGUUGGGAAGAACACCGGUGGCGAAGGCGGCGACCUGGUCCUUGACUGACGCUGAGGCGCGAAAGCGUGGGGAGCAAACAGG
rnacentral:rRNA from 1 species